GACAGAGGAGGCAAGCGUUGUCCGGAUUAACUGGGCGUAAAGCGUACGUAGGCGGCUUUGCAAGUUAGAGGUGAAAGCCUGGAGCUCAACUCCAGAACUGCCUUUAAAACUGCAUCGCUUGAAUCCAGGAGAGGUGAGUGGAAUUCCGAGUGUAGAGGUGAAAUUCGUAGAUAUUCGGAAGAACACCAGUGGCGAAGGCGGCUCACUGGACUGGUAUUGACGCUGAGGUACGAAAGCGUGGGGAGCAAACAGG
rnacentral:rRNA from 1 species